UCGGAGUUGCAGAAGGAGGGGAAGAAGAUUAUUUUCACAAAUGGCGGGAACCCUCAUGCUCUCGGAUAGAAGCCAUUAACAUUUCCCCGUCAGGUGGUAGCAUUGUGGCAAGCUCCAUUUCUAUUGGAUGACACUAAUGUCGGGCUUUUAUUCCCAGCAGAUGUCAUUGCAAGAGCUAAACAUUAUCUUUCAUUGAAUUCGGGUGGUUUAGGUGCAUAUAGUGAUUCUCGAGGACUUCCUGGAAUUAGGAAAGAA